UACGUAGGGGGCAAGCGUUGUCCGGAAUUAUUGGGCGUAAAGAGCGCGUAGGCGGUCCGAUAAGUCGGCUGUGAAAGUCAAGGGCUCAACCCUUGAAAGCCGGCCGAUACUGUCGGACUAGAGUCCGGAAGAGGCGAGUGGAAUUCCCGGUGUAGCGGUGAAAUGCGCAGAUAUCAGGAGGAACACCAAUUGCGAAGGCAGCUCGCUGGGACGUAACUGACGCUGAGACGCGAAAGCGUGGGGAGCAAACAGG
rnacentral:rRNA from 1 species